UACUCUCCGGCCGGCACGUUUUAUGCCGUUUUCACCCAAUUUAAAGACGCUACCUCAGCAGUUCUGGUUAAAUUGUCUCACAACAGAGUAUCUUUAGAGAAACUGCAACUUCCCAUUGACACCAGUGCUGAAAACACCAGUUUGACCAGCUCAAGCUGGUUGACCAAUUUGUGACAGUUGACCAGUUUAAGCAGGGUUUUCCUACCUAUAGGCCUAUCCCGUCUUCAUGACAAUUGAUGCAACAAGAGAAAACCCGCGAGUAUGGAAAGCUCGCUUCAGUGAAGGUCUGUUCACGUAGCAGGGCGGCUGUGUGCCCGACGUUAGGCCUUACAGUGCUCAGCCGUGACGGAGGUAAUGAGCGGCGUUCCGGAGCGCGCACAGCCGGAGACGUUAACAGACGCAAACCCUCCUGUUGAUUGGAAAAGAAGCAAAGCAGAGCGACCGGCCCCGUUAUCACGACACGGAGAAGCGGAGACCUGCAGGAGACGGCGGCGAUCGGAGAAACGCGCCCAGCGCCAGACGAG